rnacentral:rRNA from 1 species
GAAUUGUAAUUUGAAGAUUGUGUCUUGGAGACGACCGUGUCUAUGUUCCUUGGAACAGGACGUCACAGAGGGUGAGAAUCCCGUGCGGCACGGCCACCGUCCUCCUUAUAAGACACUCUCGACGAGUCGAGUUGUUUGGGAAUGCAGCUCAAAGUGGGUGGUAAAUUCCAUCUAAAGCUAAAUACAGGCGAGAGACCGAUAGCGAACAAGUACAGUGAUGGAAAGAUGAAAAGCACUUUGAAAAGAGAGUGAAACAGUACGUGAAAUUGUUGAAAGGGAAGGGCAUGCCGUCAGAUUGUCAGUGUGGGUAAGAAGCGGGGUACAAAGACUGCGGAACGUGGCCUUCGGGUGUUAUAGCCGCCAGUUCAUCCCCCGUCUCUUUCCGAGGCCUGCUUUGAGGACACCGACGUAAUGACGGUACGCCG